rnacentral:rRNA from 1 species
UAGGGAAUCUUCCGCAAUGGGCGAAAGCCUGACGGAGCAACGCCGCGUGAGUGAUGAAGGUCUUCGGAUCGUAAAACUCUGUUAUUAGGGAAGAACAAAUGUGUAAGUAACUAUGCACGUCUUGACGGUACCUAAUCAGAAAGCCACGGCUAACUACGUGCCAGCAGCCGCGGUAAUACGUAGGUGGCAAGCGUUAUCCGGAAUUAUUGGUCGUAAAGCGCGCGUAGGCGGUUGUUUAAGUCUGAUGUGAAAGCCCACGGCUCAACCGUGAGGGGUCAUUGGAAACUGGAAAACUUGAGUGCAGAAGAGGAAAGUGGAAUUCCAUGUGUAACGGUGAAAUGCGCAGAGAUAUGGAGGAACACCAGUGGCGAAGGCGACUUUCUGGUCUGUAACUGACGCUGAUGUGCGAAAGCGUGGGGAUCAAACAGG